rnacentral:lncRNA from 1 species
CUGGGACAGGAAACCUGGACCUGCUGCAGGCUCCCGAAGAUGGAAGAGAUGCAGCCUCUGGGCAGCAAGGUCUCGUUCCAGGCGGGAGAGAAUCUGAGAUUAAUCUGUGCUUGGGAAGAAGACAGCCACGAGUUCCAGUCUGGAUUGCUUUCACCAGUAGCUAGCCACACAGAGAUCCCCGAGCAAACAUGGAUCCAGCUGGGUCUGGAAUUGGGUUCAGAAUGA